CCUAAGUCUCCUGCACUCAGACACCGUGUCUGGCCCUCACAGUGCCCGGCACAGGGGCUGGCACACGGUGGGCACUUAAGGUCUGGCCCGUGCUCCCACUCGCCCCAUCUCUUUGAUAACGUCAUUAUUUUGGAAUUCAUGGUUUUCGGCCCAGUAAAACCUGUUUUGCUGGCAUCAGGCUGAUUUCCCUCACUCCCGAGGGAUCCCGUGCCCCCUCCCGGAGCCUGGCAGGCCUGGCGGUUUGCAGACCGGCAGGUGUCGGUGGUGAUCCUCCCUGAUUCGUGUUCCUGCCGCACCACGUUUCAGCUCACGUAGCUUCACUGCAGCCUGGCUUUUCUGAACUUCCCUGUUGAAGACACCAACGAAGGGAAGAGAGCAGAGGGUGGGAAUUUUAAUAAAGGGAACGGGGCCCAAUUGAAGAGCUCUUUGCGCCAAUGCCUCGUGAAAGCCUGAAAGCCGUUGGGGACAGAAAGAGGAGUCGGGCCUCUUAACUCCCUCAAGUGUGUAUCGGAAGGGGGCAGGGGCGCGCAGAAGGCAGCCGUUGCAAAGCCUGGCGACCAGCCAAGGGCCAGCGGACAGAGGGAUGUGAUGAACAGCUUUCCACCCCACCUGCAGAGGGCCAGGCCCCGGCCACAGCGUUCUACCGGGAGAUUUCUCCAGGCCGUGUCUCUGGGACCACCAGAAUCAGCGAGCCCGAUUCACAGAAGACCAAACACAGGAGGAAAAAGAGCCCCUCAGCUCACCAAGUAAUUGGUAACAGCACAGUGAGUAAUUUGAGCAAUAAACAUCAUGCAAACCUGGCCCGCGGUGGGACUGACGUGAUAGGGUGUUCUCUGGCUCACGCUGGCCCCACGAGAGCGAGCCAGGCUCAUACAGCAAUCACUCACCCCUGCAGAGGGCACAGGUCAGUGAAUCACUGCACGUAGGGCUCUAAGGGCGGGUGCUACGUGUUGGGACUCACCUCACGAGCUACCGGUGUAUCCCAGAGCUUCUCCUUCACCCAUGAUUCGAGAAGUCUCUCUGUUCACCCUGAUACACCCUCACACACCGGCCGCCUCACCGCACCCUCUGGACAAUGUUCCUCCGCACCAGAAACCCACCCGCACCUGACACCUUCGUUUGUCCCAGACCAGCCCCCAAC
rnacentral:lncRNA from 1 species